CACCCCAUGCCGCCUUCCUCCCCUGAACCACCCUGCCAUGCCGCCGCCUUGUCCCCCUCCUUGUUCCCCACCAUCUCAAGGUUCGAUUUUUUGCUGGGCGCCGGUGGUUGAGCUGUAGGCAGAUCUGCGGGCGUCGGCCUGGAGCGGCAGUACACGAGGAGAGGAGCGUCCGGCGUCUCCCUCGACGUCGCUGAGCAAGGACCCGCCGCCGGCCCGGUGGUGCUCCUCCAUGGAUUCCACCAGAUUGACCGCAGACGCGCCACCAGAUUCCACCAGACGCGCCGCCGCCGCCGCCUCUCAACCGCCGGAGACGGCGCUUCCCGCGGCGGACGGCCCCGGAGACGAGGAGGGGGAGGAGGAGAAAUGCCGCAUCUGUUGCCUCCCGGCCGAGGCAGACCGCCCCCUGCGCCUGCCGUGGUAGCAUCAGGUUCGUCCACGACGACUGCCAGCUCCGGUGGCUCGCCACCCGCCAGCGACCCCGCUGCGAGGGUGCCAUCACCAAAAGGAUGUCAACAAUUGAGGAAAUAGCAGGAAUGGAUGUUCAUCCUGGUUAUAGUUACAGCAGCAGGGGACAAGCACUUGCUCUGGAGUACGCAAUUAAAUUUUUUGCAUUGCAGGGGAUUAUUGCUUUGGUUCAUGACUUCUCAGCCAGUGCAUCAAGUACCUCGGUCUGAAGGAAAGGGAGGACUAUGAGGUCGUAAUUGAGGACAAUAAGUUCUUGUACAAGAAGAACCGGCAAAUAAUUGACACGUCCUUCGGUCCGAGGGAUGCAAAGUGGAUCUUUGUUCUUAGCACAACUAAGACCUUGUAUGUUGGUCAGAAGAAGAGAGGUAAAUUUCAGCAUUCUAGCUUUCUUGCAUUGCUAUCAGAAUUCAGAAACCUGCUUGGGUGUGAACUCAGCAAAACAAAAGUCUCCACCUCCUCUCUAUUUCCUCCUAGAUUUUGAUUGGCAAGUCAAAGCAUGCAUGCCAGCCAAGGAAGAAACAAAGAUAGAUCACUCUGUGUUACUGAAGUUUCAUGGCUGAUCUUAGAAGAGUUGACUUAAGAUGUCAGUGUUAGUUCUGUAGAGAUCAUGGUAAUUAAUUCGUGCACCAUUUUUCUUAUCAAAUUGAUUUUGCAGUAAACACUAUAAAAUGGCCCUCAUUGGUUUAUCACAGCUAUGGUGUUCAAACUCUUCAGUUUGCUGUCUUUGAUCUUACAGCCGGGUCCUUCAGUAUGUCAGAUUAGGAUCUUAACUGGAGCGCCAAUGAUUACAACAACAGUAUCACAGUGAUCAGCGGAUCACUUGGGCUCCAUUCCAUCGGCAAGGCCAAGUGCAAGUGGGGAUGACCCCUGUGGCCACGAACCUGGCCGUGGAGAUGCAGGGAUGCCUGCCCAUGCUACAGCAAGGAGGAGGGGAAGAUGGAGCCGCGGCGCCUGAGCCUGGCAGCAGCGGAAGAUGGAGGCCCGGCGCCUGAGCCUGGCAGCGGCGGAAGAUGGAGCCGCGGCGCCUGAGCCUAGCAGUGGCGGAAGAUGGAGGCCCGGUGCCUGAGCCUGGCAGCGGCGGAAGAUGGAGCCGCGGUGCCUGGGCCUGGCAGCGGCGGAAGAUGGAGCUGUGGCACCUGAACCUGGCAGCGGCGGAGACGGAGCUCGAUGUGCUGGAGUCGCCGGCUUCGUCUUGGUGCCGGCGAUGGAGCUGGAGGUACUCGGAGGUGGGGAGCUCGAGGUGCUGGGUGCGGGAGCUCGAGGAGCUGACGCCGGCGACGGGGUCCUAGUGCUGGGGAUGGAGCUCGAGGUUCUGGCCAGCGGGAGAUCGAGGUUCUGGCCGGCGGAUGGAGGUUCCCCGCGGUGGAUCGCGACGAGUGGACGGAGAACUGGGUACUGGAUUGUAAUGACUUCAAAUUUCAGAAGGGUCUUAUUGUAAAAUUAAUUUGUUCACGAUUCCUUCCCCCUGGAGUCAUCUAUUACCGAACGGAGGGAGUACAUGUGUUGAGGUUUGUGAUUCCCGUAGCAUGCACGUAUGGUGAACCGUUUUGUGAUGAAGUUGGAGUACAAUUU